rnacentral:tRNA from 1 species
GCCCGGGUGGCGAAAUCGGCAGACGCAAAGGACUUAAAAUCCUUUUUCCGGAAACGGGAGUGUGGGUUCAAGUCCCACCCCGGGCACCA